UACGGGGGGGGUAAGCGUUGUUCGGAAUUACUGGGCGUAAAGGGCUCGUAGGCGGCCAACUAAGUCGGACGUGAAAUCCCUCAGCUUAACUGGGGAACUGCGUCCGAUACUGGAUGGCUUGGAUUUGGGAGAGGGAUGCGGAAUUCCAGGUGUAGCGGUGAAAUGCGUAGAGAUCGGGUGGAACACCAGCGGCGAAGGCGGCAUCCUGGCCCUGUACUGACGCUGAGGCGCGAUAGCGUGGGGAGCAAACGGG
rnacentral:rRNA from 1 species